rnacentral:rRNA from 1 species
AUACGGAGGAUCCGAGCGUUAUCCGGAUUUAUUGGGUUUAAAGGGUGCGCAGGCGGCCAUUUAAGUCAGCGGUUAAAUCGUGGGGCUCAACCCCAUUCUGCCGUUGAUACUGGGUGGCUUGAUUGCGGUCGAGGUUGGCGGACUUCGUUGUGUAGCGGUGAAAUCCAUAGAUAUGACGAAGAACACCGAUUGCGUAGGCAGCUGACCAGACCGCAAAUGACGCUCAUGCACGAAAGUGCGGGGAUCGAACAGGAUUAGAUACCCUGGUAGUCCGCACAGUAAACGAUGAAUACUUGUUUUCGGCGAUAUAAUGUCGGAGGCAAAGCGAAAGCGAUAAGUAUUCCACCUGGGGAGUACGCCGGCAACGGUGAAACUCAAAUGAAUUGGCGGGG